rnacentral:ncRNA from 1 species
UCUUAUUCAGAGUGGUGGAGGUACAUAGGACCUGUGAAGCCACGGCAACCCCUGAUAAGGAAGGUGCCAACCUGAGCGAGUAAUCGAACAA